GGUCAAGCUACUAAGGGCGUACGGUGGAUGCCUAGGCGCUAAGAGUCGAUGAAGGGCGCGGUUAACAGCGAAAUGCCACGGGGAGUCGUAAGCAGGCUUUGAUCCGUGGAUACCCGAAUGGGGCAACCCAACUAGAGUCAUAUCUAGUUAUCUUUAGCUGAAUACAUAGGUUAAAGAAGGCAACCCGGGGAACUGAAACAUCUAAGUACCCGGAGGAAGAGAAAGAAUAAUCGAUUCCCUGAGUAGCGGCGAGCGAAACGGGAACAGCCCAAACCGAAUCCUUCGGGAUUCGGGGUUGUAGGACCCUCUUUUAAGAAUGGUUUCCUAGCUGAACAGGACUGGAAAGUCCGGGCAGAGAAGGUAACACCCCUGUAAACGAAAGGAAAGCAUUCUGUGAGGGAAUCCUGAGUACCGCGGGACACGUGAAACCCCGUGGGAAGCAGGGAGGACCACCUCCCAAGGCUAAAUACUUCUUAGCGACCGAUAGUGAACCAGUACCGUGAGGGAAAGGUGAAAAGCACCUCGGAAGAGGAGUGAAAAAGAACCUGAAACCGU
rnacentral:ncRNA from 1 species